rnacentral:rRNA from 1 species
UACGAAGGGGGCUAGCGUUGUUCGGAAUUACUGGGCGUAAAGGGCGCGUAGGCGGUGUGUCAAGUCAGGCGUGAAAGCCCCGGGCUCAACCUGGGAACCGCGCUUGAGACUGGCACGCUGCGAGGUUCGGGAGAGGAUGGUGGAAUUCCCAGUGUAGAGGUGAAAUUCGUAGAUAUUGGGGAAGAACACCGAUGGCGAAGGGCAGCCAUCUGGACGGCUAUUGACGCUGAGACGCGGAAAGCGUGGGGAGCAAACAGGG